GUAUGUCGUUGCUUAAACUUAGUUUACUGUUUCACUAACGUCUCUCUUAUAACAAAUGAAAUUACUAAAAAAUCAAUAAAACAAUAUAUAAAUUUUUAGUGAACUCUGUCGAAAUUGGACACUCAUGUCCUAGUUAAACGUUAUUCCUGCCUAAUAAGACUUGACUAUCACAAUCCUAGUAUACAUUCCUAGAGAAGAAGUAACAAAUGGUAGCAAUUUAAAUUGAUAAUGCAGGAUUCUCCAUAAGUGAUCAAAAUCAUUAGGUUGUGAGAGUUUUCCUUAGGGGUGCUCAUGGUGCGGUUUGAAUCGGGUUUUUCCUAAAAAAAUCAAAUCAAGUAAGUCGGUUUCUUAAAUAUUAGAAUCAAAUCAAAUCAAUUAAGUCGGUUUUUUUUCCGAUUCUGUUUCUGUUGGUUUCUGUCGGUUUUUUGAUUUUUUCAAUUGUUUUUUUUUCUUAAAUAUAUGACAUGCACUACCAUAACACAUAUUUUGGCAACUACAUUUUCAACGUCAAACUAUCAAAUCAAUUACCCUUUGAGAAAUCUAUUGUUUACUAAAAUAUAUUGAUGAUAAUUAAAUCAAAUAUUGAUGAAUAAUUUAAGGAUUCAAUUAAAACUAUUUUUUUUAAACAUAAAAUGAAUUCUUAUACUUAAUAA
rnacentral:lncRNA from 1 species